GAUUGGACAGGGCGCAAGCCUGAUCAGCCAUGCCGCGUGGGUGAUGAAGCCCUAGGGUUGUAAAGCCCUUUCGGCGGGGAAGAUAAUGACGGUACCCGCAGAAGAAGCCCCGGCUAACUUCGUGCCAGCAGCCGCGGUAAUACGAAGGGGGCUAGCGUUGCUCGGAAUCACUGGGCGUAAAGCGCACGUAGGCGGAUUGCUAAGUCAGGGGUGAAAUCCUGGAGCUCAACUCCAGAACUGCCCUUGAUACUGGCGACCUCGAGUCCGGGAGAGGUGAGUGGAACUGCGAGUGUAGAGGUGAAAUUCGUAGAUAUUCGCAAGAACACCAGUGGCGAAGGCGGCUCACUGGCCCGGUACUGACGCUGAGGUGCGAAAGCGUGGGCAGCAAACAGGAUUAGAUACCCUGGUAGUCCACGCCGUAAACGAUGGAUGCUAGCCGUUGGAGGGUUUACUCUUCAGUGGCGCAGCUAACGCAUUAAGCAUCCCGCCUGGGGAGUACGGUCGCAAGAUUAAAACUCAAAGGAAUUGACGGGGGCCCGCACAAGCGGUGGAGCAUGUGGUUCAAUUCGAACACGCGCAGAACUUCCAGCUUUUGACAUC
rnacentral:rRNA from 1 species